CCCCCCAAGGAUUCUGCAGCUGGCGCCCACCCCAGGGCCUUCUGCGCGGCCCUGCAGGAGCAGGAGCGCGGGGGGCAGAGUGACGCCGGCUGUGAUGGGGGCUUACGGAGCGGGCCAAGGUCUUGAGUCGCUGUCUUCCGGCUGGUCUCCGCCUGUCCCUCCUGGAUCCAGCAAAUGCUCAGCCUGAGCCUCUCACCACACGGAUGGUGAUAAGGAGAGAGAAGCCGACCCAGGACACCUGGGCCCUGAUGACCACACCAGAUCGGAAAUAGGCCUGAGGGGCCCACAGUAUUCAGUGGGGCAUUCCUUGGGGAGCCAGGUGCUACCAGCAUUUCCUGCCACAUCACGGAACCCAGGACAAAGAAG